GACGAACGCUGGCGGCGUGCUUAACACAUGCAAGUCGAACGGAAAGGCCCUGCUUUUGUGGGGUGCUCGAGUGGCGAACGGGUGAGUAACACGUGAGUAACCUGCCCUUGACUUUGGGAUGACUUCAGGAAACUGGGGCUAAUACCGGAUAGGAGCUCCUGCUGCAUGGUGGGGGUUGGAAAGUUUCGGCGGUUGGGGAUGGACUCGCGGCUUAUCAGCUUGUUGGUGGGGUAGUGGCUUACCAAGGCUUUGACGGGUAGCCGGCCUGAGAGGGUGACCGGCCACAUUGGGACUGAGAUACGGCCCAGACUCCUACGGGAGGCAGCAGUGGGGAAUAUUGCACAAUGGGCGGAGGCCUGAUGCAGCAACGCCGCGUGCGGGAUGACGGCCUUCGGGUUGUAAACCGCUUUCGCCUGUGACGAAGCGUGAGUGACGGUAAUGGGUAAAGAAGCACCGGCUAACUACGUG
rnacentral:rRNA from 1 species